rnacentral:rRNA from 1 species
UACGGGGGGGGCAAGCGUUGUUCGGAAUUACUGGGCGUAAAGGGCUCGUAGGCGGCCAACUAAGUCAUACGUGAAAUCUCCCGGCUUAACUGGGAGGGUGCGCCGAAGACUGCGAUGCUGGAGUAUGGGAGAGGAAAGCGGAAUUCCUGGUGUAGCGGUGAAAUGCGUAGAUAUCAGGAGGAACACCUGCGGUGUAGACGGCUUUCUGGACCAUUACUGACACUGAGACACGAAAGCGUGGGUAGCAAACAGG